UGAGGGGUGGUGGAGUUUGCUGUUUCUCUGCAGUUCUAAUGAUCUGGAUAAUCCCAUUAACCGUCCGGGAGCCCGAGCACGGCCCAUCAGGAGAAAACCUCAGCGCUGCAGCACUCAGACGGUGCUGUUAUGGUAAUACAGGCUGUAGGGGUUGGCAGACUUCACCUGGCACUUCAGCUCCAGCAGCUCCCGGAACCGCUCGCACUCGUCCACAGGGAUGCCCAGGAAGUCGACGUCGGUGCAGUCGGCCGAGAUGAACG